GUGGGGAAUAUUGGACAAUGGGCGAAAGCCUGAUCCAGCCAUGCCGCGUGUGUGAAGAAGGUCUUCGGAUUGUAAAGCACUUUAAGUUGGGAGGAAGGGCAGUAAGUUAAUACCUUGCUGUUUUGACGUUACCGACAGAAUAAGCACCGGCUAACUUCGUGCCAGCAGCCGCGGUAAUACGAAGGGUGCAAGCGUUAAUCGGAAUUACUGGGCGUAAAGCGCGCGUAGGUGGUUUUGUAAGUUGGUGGUGAAAUCCCCGGGCUCAACCUGGGAACUGCCUCCAAAACUGCAUGACUAGAGUACGGUAGAGGGUAGUGGAAUUUCCUGUGUAGCGGUGAAAUGCGUAGAUAUAGGAAGGAACACCAGUGGCGAAGGCGACUACCUGGACUGAUACUGACACUGAGGUGCGAAAGCGUGGGGAGCAAACAGGAUUAGAUACCCGAGUAGUCC
rnacentral:rRNA from 1 species